rnacentral:tRNA from 1 species
UUCCUGGUGGUCUACUGGUUAGGAUUCAGGGCUUUCAUUGCUGUGGCCCAGGUUUAAUCCCUGGAUGGGAAA